UACGGGGGAUGCAAGCGUUAUUCGGAAUCAUUGGGCGUAAAGGGCACGCAGGCGGCUCUGUCAGUCAGAUGUGAAAGCCCGGGGCUCAACCCCGGAAGAGCAUUUGAAACAGCAGGGCUUGAGUACGGUAGAGGAAAGCGGAAUUCCUGGUGUAGAGGUGAAAUUCGUAGAUAUCAGGAGGAACACCGGUGGCGAAGGCGGCUUUCUGGACCGAAACUGACGCUGAGGUGCGAAGGCGUGGGUAGCGAACAGG
rnacentral:rRNA from 1 species